UGCCACAGCCUGACCACUCCAUUUCCCUUUCCCCACAGGCCCCAAAUCAGUCUCAUCUCCAGCCCCAGAGCAGAGUCCCGAGGGCAAUGUCCCCUGCCCUGCCCCUCACCCUGUCCCACCCAUGGCCACCGUGCCCACCCAGAGCACCUGUGUCCCGCUCUACACAGCUGCCCCAUGCAGGGUGCCAGGGACCCCAUCCCCAACAAGGCUCAAACUCCAGCCCUGGGCCUGGCUGCCAUCACCUGCAGCUCCCAAGGGAAGGGCCCUUGUGCCCACACAGGGUCUCUGCAAUGCCCAGGACCUGAACCAAGGCCAGCACUGGCCCUGAGCAGGAUGUGCCCAUCCCCAGGGACAUGGGGAAGUGGGCACCUGUCCCCAGGCAGCCACUCGGAACUAACUGGGGUAACAGAAGUGCCCUGUGAGGAGGAGGGGUGUUGGUGCCCUGCCAGCACCUCUGACAAGCCCUGUUUACCCAUUGCCCGAGGCACCAGGAGGACAUUCAGACAUCUUGGGCUUCCAGGAAGGAAAAUCCACUGUGAAGUGGUUCCAGAGAGCUGUCCAUGACUGUGAUUCCUGUUUGACAUUCCAGGGCAUUAGUGAAGGGUUCUGCACAUCUCUUUCCCCAGGGACCAUGUGAAUCCAUCCAAGAGGUGUCGUGGCCCAGCUGGGAAAACAUUUCAGGCCACUGCCUUGACUGUUUGCUAUGGAACUUGCUCAAGGAGCUGCAGGGCCCAGGAAGAUUUUCCUGUGGAGUACCCCAGGACUGAGAGACCAGAGUGUCCCUGUGGGGGAUCCUUGACCAGAGCAAAAGGGCUAUGAUGUCUUUGGGGUGCUGAGGACACCUUGGAAUGGAAUUGAGGACAUGUCUACAGGAUUCCAAUUGCAGAAGGAGGCCAAGGAGAGAUCCAGGCCUCCUUGGAGAUCAGUGCCAGUCAGGGGGGUGGCACUGGACAGCCACUGACCACGUGCCAACAGCCCGGGCAGAAGGAGCUGGACAUGCCCAGAGGCUCCCAGUGUGGGCAGAUUGGCCCUGCAGCUUCAGGGACCCCAUGGGAAUGUCCCUGCCCCCCUCGGGGCUGUGGAUGAGCUGUGCAGAAUCUCUCCCUACAGCUCUCAGCAGCAUUUCAGCAAUGAGAUGGACACCGGUGUCAGAAGAGACUGAGAACCAGGAGGCUCCACAGUGUCUCUGAGUGCCCUGUCUCUGAGUGCCCUUGGUUCCAUGAGGCCCCACAGAAUCCCAGGAUGUGCUGUGGCAGUCCCGUUGUCCUGCUCCCUGUGACACCACAGCGGUUGCUGCCUGAGCGUUCCCCUCUCUGUGACACUGCAACUGUGGCAGCAGCACAAGAACAGAAGCAGCAGUCGUGCAACAACAGGGGAGCCGUGGAGGAGCAGAGAUGGAGCUCAGAAUAGCAGGAGAUGAGCAGUGGUGGAGCAGUGGUGGAACAGUGGUGGAGCAGUGUUGGACAAGCAGAGGAACUGUGCUGGAACACCCCCAGAGCAGCACUGGAGCAGCUUUUGAGCAGCAGUGGAGUAACCAUGGAAAAGGUGGAACAGUGGUGGGACAGGAGCCACAGCCAUGAACAGUGGUGGGACAGGAACCACAGCCUGGAACAGUGGUGGGUCAGGAGCCACAGCCUGGAACAGUGGUGGGACAGGAACCACAGCCAUGAACAGUGGUGGAACCGGAACCACAACCAUGUGUGAUACUCACAUGCCCUCUGAACAGAGAGACAUAAUUCUGUCUCUCAGGUUUUUUCCUGGAGAAGUACAGAGGGAAAACAUUUUUUAUCUCUGCUUGCUGCUCCUGGUAUUCUGCACAAGUGGAAUGUGUUGGGAAGGUUGUUUACCUCAAGGACUUUGGUCAUUGGAUUCUGGUGGAGAUUGUUUAUGUUAAUUAGCCCAUCAGGUCCAA